ensembl:lncRNA
CCACUAGGCUAUCAGCAGGCCUACCUCUCCAGCGGCUCAGCUCAGAUUCGAGGCAGCUAGUCUCCUGAGGUCCCGGGAUCUAGUCUCAGAACUGCCUUCUGCUGGAUGGACUGGUUUUUCAGGUGUACCCCUUAAAAGGGGCCCGUGAUGGGCUGGAGAGAUGGCUCAGAGGUUAAGAGCACUGGCUGUUCUUCCAGAGGUCCUGAGUUCAAUUAGCAGCAACCACGUGGUGGCUCACAACCAUCCGUUAUGAGAUCUGGUGCCCUCUUCUGGUGUGCAGAUAUACAUGGAAGCAGAAUGUUGUAUACAUAAUAAAUAAAUAAAAUCUUUAAAAAAAAAAGGGGGUGUGUGAGAUGGAUUCAGG